UGCGCAGUCCGGGUGUCUUUUUCCCUGUGCCUAUCUCCCUCGUCUUGUUGAUGAUCGUCUCUCGACUUCCGUCUCUCCCCCUUCGUCGGCGCUCCAACCACCACGCCACGGGCCCAUCUGGCGGUUGGGCCUGGGGCGGCGCGGGUCGUAAAGGGGAGCGGCGCGGCGGCCUCUCGUGGAGGUGGGGGACGGGGGAACCUGGUCCUCGAUCGUUCAGGCCCUACCGCUCGCCUCGGCAGCGCGGCGGCGGCGGCGACCGGCCGCCCGCCGCGCCGAAGCCACCGGCCCCUCAGGAGGAGGCGGCCGCGGAGCGGCGGUGCGGCUACUUUCUACUUGGGCACCAGAGAUGUUUGCCACCUUUUCUCCUUUACUAACGGGUAUCACAAUUACAACGGUCUUUUCGUAGGUAAGGACCUCAAAGUAGUUCAAAUAGGUUAUCCUGUUGUCACUGCUGCGGUUGUGGAAACGUAGGUCGUCUUGGUAGACUAGAGGCAAAGUUAGCAGAAGCUGGGGGAUAACUCUUUUCACUAACGUUUAUGUGUUCUAUAAAACCAGCGAUACAACGAGCCCUCCGAUAUUACCUACUCCUUAUGACCCAUAAUAAGAACAAUGAACGUUUUUUAUAUGUAAGCGACUAAGACCCGUUAUUGAAUAUCAGCAGGUAAAGACUAACUGUACCAGCCGUGUACACAAAUACUACUCAAUCACUGUUAUUAAUUAUCCGAUGGACAGAAAACAAAGAGUACGAUUAUUCGAGUCUCGUACUCUAGACAUUUAUGAUUGUAAAUAUAAGGUUUAGUAAAUGGAAGUGUUAAAUCAAUCACGAUACUUCAUUGCUUUAUUGUAAAUGUAAUGGUGAUACGGAAUGUAGAGAAGAAUGGUUCUGAAAUAUCUAACGGCGUACCAACUCUCGUCUUCUAGUAAUACUUCUAGUCAGUCCGCUAGCGAUACAACUUUCGAAGUUUUCUUUCAAACGUAGUGUCCUUAAAGUACGAAAUUUCUUUGCUACAUCGUCCGUCCAACCUCUCUUCAUAUGGACAAAACAACGCCAUUUCUUACUACUGCAAUGUGCUUGACACGACUUAUCACAACAACCAUGCCAUCUAGAUACACAGUCCGUAGGAGAUAUACCCCUCUGUAUAGGGCGCCUCGGACCUUUGUGCGGUAAAAUGAGAUCUUAGAUAGUCGGUCUAGUCGGUUUUAAACCUAUAAAUUGGUUACAAACACAACGAUUCAUACGUGCCGCAGUUCCCUAACGGUCGUUGUACAACAAUAACCGGUAACUACGACGUUCUGAGCUACCACGACUUUCAUAAAUAUAAGUACAUGUAUUCCUAUUGAACGGUCGAGCCUCCGAGAUACUAGUACAUCCUAAGUUCUACCAACUGUACCUACCACGAGCGGUCAGUAGUCUAGACACGAAUGAGAGGAAGUCAAGGUGGGUGAUCCGAUCAAUUGUCCCCUAAAUAAGGGUAUAGGAAACACGUCCACUUUCAUACGGUAGUCAGGAGAACUAAAUCUUUUUCGUCCUGCCACAGUCACUUAUACAAAAUGGUAGAACGUGUACUAUUUUCUAACAUUUCAAGUUUUAGGAACCUUAGCAGAUGUACCCGCUGUCAUCCCCACAGGUCUUACGACAACUACAUACACACCCGAAAAGUAGACUUACGAAGCAAGAAAACAAUGACAUGUCAAACACUUUGUUCGGGUAGACUACCGAGACCCAAGUAAGAACACUCAGAAGUUCUUGUUUACAUGUAGGUACGGUUGUUUGUAAGCAUUAUUCUAGACACUAAUUCGAGGAAACCGGUAUCAACCCAGCCCGGAAAAUCAAAAAA
rnacentral:rRNA from 1 species